CCUGAACAGGUUACUAUCACUAUGCGGGAAAACCCUUCGUCAUUUGUAGCCUGCCAUCGGAAUUACUGAAAUGAAGAACGGAAGCAGGAUCGAGCAAAAGGCUUGGUGGAUCAGGGGAAGCUUCACGAAAAAAGGAAACCGUAAACAGGGACUAUGUUUUCAAGUUCCCAUCAAUUUGUUGAAGUGUAUAUGGACGGUUUGAAUGACACAGAUGACGAGUAUGAAGAGGAAGAAUAUGUUCAUUCUUCAAUGGACAAGACAACAUGGGAUCCUCUUUUGAAUGAUUAGGUAUAAGGAGAAAUGAAAUUGCCUGAACUGUCAUCUGAUGAUGGUGAAUUGAGCUAUUCAGAUGAAGAAUUUGACAAAGAAGAGCACAUAAAUCAUGAAAUUGGGGACGAAUUUUUGUUUGUUUCUGUUUAGUUUUGUUUGUUUUGGACAAAAACAUGUAAUUAUACUCAAUUUUAUGGUAAUGGUGGUUGUUUGGUGUGCUAAUAA